UACGUAGGGAGCAAGCGUUGUCCGGAAUCAUUGGGCGUAAAGCGCGCGUAGGCGGCCCUGUAAGUCCGUUGUGAAAGUCAAAGGCUCAACCUUUGAAAGCCGAUGGAUACUGCAGGGCUAGAGUCCGGAAGAGGCGAGUGGAAUUCCUGGUGUAGCGGUGGAAUGCGCAGAUAUCAGGAGGGACACCAAUAGCGAAGGCAGCUCGCUGGGACGGUACUGACGCUAAGGCGCGAAAGCGUGGGGAGCGAACAGG
rnacentral:rRNA from 1 species